UUUUGCUAGGGGUGCUUUAGAGCUGAGAGAUGAAAUUUUUAUUUCAUUAACCCUUAUACCUGAACUGGAUAAUGCCAGCGUAGGAAAGCUAUUAAU
rnacentral:ncRNA from 1 species